CCUCAGUGCUGGGGGAAGCAGCGGUUCGCACAUGCUCAAUCGCACAGUGAAGCCCUGGCGAAGCAUCUGCCCUGCACCGGCCAUCGAUCUGGGUGUUGUUCCUAAGGAAUUAAGGCGUGGAGAAAUUUAGGUCGCCGCGCAGCGAGGAAAGGAUAGCUACGGCAAUAAGUAACGAAGUCAGCUGCUGGCUGUCAGGGGACUAGUUGGGCAGGGGAGUCAGAAAAACAAUGCCUAGAAGGGUUGUGCGUCGAAUUUCAGGAACAGAAAAAUAAAGGAACAGUGGGACACAAGAAAAACUAUUAAGAGUGAGAAUUAAAUAUUCGAGCUUGUAUGUUAUUGUGCCGUUACUUUAAAAGUGUUGAAAGAAAAAUCUUCAGGUCCAGUCUAAACUGGGAAUAAGAAAAAGGAGACUGCUUUAGGAAAGAAGGUCGGAUAUUGAGUUACCAGAAAUUUCAGUGAUAACAGCAUCUGUGUUCCUGCAUUGGCUGACAAAAUGGAGCUGGGAGUGGUGGGUUUUUAUACCUUCUUGGGCUUUUGUGUUUGGAGUUGUUCCUGUUCCUGUGGCAUGAACUUUGACCCAGGCCUGAGUAUGCUCUUCUGGGUUAAUGAUGGGUUAAUCCUAUUAUGUCUUGAAGGUCACGUCCUGCUUCUUGGGCUGUGGCUGAUGACUAUGUCCUUUGUUGGAUUUUUGGAUGAGGGGUUGCUGGUUCUAAUCUUAUCAUUCAUGGCUAUCAAAUCUUGCUCCAAGGGAUUUCGAAAGAUACUGUCUUGAAUGGGCUUCUGCAGUGGGCUAGAAUUUCUACCAACAGUUUUGGCGCCCAAUGUGGGGCUCGAGACCGGGAUCGUUUGUCUGCACCAGAUCCAGAAGGUGACAUGGAAGGCAUGCCCUGUCGAUUUCAACAGUCUAUCUCAUCUUGUUGGUAAAGGAGCAGCAAUGCUUUCCUCGGCGAACCAAUAGAGUUGAUAUUAGACAGAGAUACGAAUUGAACCGGUGUGUGUGUUGCUGGCUUCCGGGAACUGGGCAACUCUGUGCACGGACCUAGCCGGCUGUAUUGCUUUAAGAGCGAGAAAGACAGAAAAGAAAAGGGGGGUCUGAUCUUUUUAACUUUUUUUCUGCUUAGAAUUCUGGUUUGAGGAAGGAAACAAGGCUUGCUGAUCCAAACACCCCCUUUGGAAUUUCCUGUCCACAAGUUUGAGGUGGGACAGUGGAUCCUGAUCCGAAUGUGGAAGGAGGAGAAAUUGCAACCUAAAUGGGAAGAACCAUUCCAUGUGUUGCUGACCUCUGAAACUGCAGUUCGGACGAAAGAAAAAGGGUGGACUCAUACAUGAGUGAAGGGACCAGUAGCUGAACCAAAAGGACAGUGGACCUGUGUUCCGGGUGACGACUCGUUUAAAUUGAUACUGUGUAAAAUUCCUGUUUAAAUGUGUUGGUACUGUGCUGUAAAUGCCAUGUUGAUUGUUGUUGUUUCCAUUGUAUUGACUGUGUAAGAUGUACUGGAUGUGAAGAACAUUUUGGACCAUACGAUAUAGUACUCAUUAAAAAGAAAUUGAAACCUUUUGAGGAAUAUACUGAGACAUUGACUGGAGUGGUAAGAUAUACUCUAAAAGAUACUCCUUCAAUCCAAUUAGUCCAGGAAGAACAACGAGAAGCCUUCAUAAAAUAUCACAGUUUAGAAGAAGAUUAAUAUAAAAUAUAAUUAAUAUAAAUUAAUAUAAAAUGCGAA